rnacentral:snoRNA from 1 species
AAUGAAGGAUACUCUGUCUGAUUGGAAAUGUCUCACAGUGUAACUUUGUGGUUAGGGUUUUCUCACAGGUCUGUUUCUUAGGUCUGUGAUAAGGCAAUACUAGAGAGUA